rnacentral:lncRNA from 1 species
UUGAUUCGGCCUAUAGCUUUAAGUCAGAAUGUAUGCUCUCGCUGUCCCAUUUGAAGUUAAAAUUACUUUUUGAAAAUAAAUAAGUUCUAAUUGCUUUUAAAGUGCUCUCGCUGUUUUUUAGCUUUAAGUCAGAAUGUAUGCUCUCGCUGUCCCAUUUGAAGUUAAAAUUACUUUUUGAAAAUAAAUAAGUUCUAAUUGCUUUUAAAGUGCUCUCGCUGU